rnacentral:rRNA from 1 species
AGCAGUAGCCGCGGGAAUACGAGGGGGGCAAGCGUUGUUCGGAAUUAUUGGGCGUAAAGGGCGCGUAGGCGGUUUGACAAGUUUGGUGUGAAAUCUAUGGGCUCAACCCAUAGCCUGCAUCGAAAACUGUCGGGCUUGAGUAUGGGAGAGGUGAGUGGAAUUCCGGUGUAGCGGUGAAAUGCGUAGAUAUCGGAAGGAACACCUGUGGCGAAAGCGGCUCACUGGACCAUUACUGACGCUGAGGCGCGAAAGCUAGGGGAGCAAACAGGAUUAGAUACCCCCGUAGUCCCUGUCUCUUAUACA